GACGAACCGUGCGAACGUUGUUCGGAAUUACUGGGCGUAAAGGGCGCGUAGGCGGCCUGUUAAGUCGAACGUGAAAUCCCCGGGCUCAACCCGGGAACUGCGUCCGAUACUGGCAGGCUUGAAUCCGGGAGAGGGAUGCGGAAUUCCAGGUGUAGCGGUGAAAUGCGUAGAUAUCUGGAGGAACACCGGUGGCGAAGGCGGCAUCCUGGACCGGUAUUGACGCUGAGGCGCGAAAGCCAGGGGAGCAAACGGG
rnacentral:rRNA from 1 species